rnacentral:rRNA from 1 species
CCUACGGGUGGCUGCAGUGGGGAAUCUUGCGCAAUGGCCGAAAGGCUGACGCAGCGACGCCGCGUGAGGGAUGACGGCCUUCGGGUUGUAAACCUCUGUUGCCCGGGACGAACACCCGUUUCGACGGGGAUGACGGUACCGGGUGAGGAAGCACCGGCUAACUCUGUGCCAGCAGCCGCGGUAAUACAGAGGGUGCGAGCGUUGUCCGGAAUCACUGGGCGUAAAGGGCGCGUAGGCGGUGGCGUAAGCGUGCGGUGAAAGCUCGGGGCUCAACC